ACUUUCUGAAUAAAAAAAAAAAAGGAAACCCCAAAACCCCACAGAAACCUUGCUUGCUUUCUCCACCUUUUCAAUGGACUAGUACACUGUCUGGUUCUGCCUUACCAAGUUUACGUAGGACUGGAAGGACAACAACUCUGGCGAAAAAUAGUAAAAGUAUUAUUUUCCUUUUCUGUGAAACAGAUGUAAAAUACUUGUGAUUCUUUAUUUCCUGUGAGCCCAUUUCCAGGCCUUAUUUAAUGCCACCACUUUGUGGGAUCAGAGAUAUUUGACAGAGUUCCUAUUAUAAAGGAAAAUCAGAUCCUGUUUAUGUUGCUUCUUGUCUCAAGCUGUAAUUCACAUCUUCUCAUGUUUCUGGCAAAAUGAUUUAUCAAAAUUAAACCAGAAUAUGUUCAAAGCACUUUUCUUUUUUACUUGGUUGGUCGGUCUUUUUUAUGUUGGGUUGAGAAGAGUCAGCUUGGGUAUGUCACUGUCUAUCACAGCUAGAAUAUCUGCUAGGAAGCAGAAGUGCAGUUCCCUCUGAGGCAGAUCAACUGCUGGAUUUAACAUAUUGUUGGGAAAACAAACUGUAGAGCAAAGUGAAGUACUUGAAACAGGCUCCACUCUGUACAGAUGUUCUCACUCAGAAAGCAGCUAGAGGGACCGGAAGAUAAACGAAGGCUGUCCAACUUUGAAAAAGGUCUGGAUUUUCAUUCUGUCUUAAUAAGUAAAUACAGUUUUUGUGGUAGUCCGAUUUUCAGCCUGAUAGAAAAUUCAACAGCUACAGACAUGACCUAAAAUGACAGAUAACUGAAAAUGUACAAGCAAGACCUUAGAAAGGUGCUAUACAAUAUCAUAAAAAUAUUUUUUGUUUUAAUCUUAAAUGCUUUUAUGUCAAAGGAGGGGAGCAAAGACCAGAAAUUGGAAACGUUGUUAGUAUUCUAACUCUGGAGCAGGUCAUACAUGCUUGCAGGCAGCGUGCAAUACUUGGAAUGCAAGGCUAAGAUCUGAAAGGCAAUUCAGGAACCCCUCCUGCAGAAAACAUUUUUUAUUAUUGUUAUAGAAAGCAAGACAGGAUUACUGAGCUCAGAAGGGUUAUUUGUGGAUAACUUCCAGCUGAAGUGAUAAAGGGCUCCAGCCACUAGCCAAAAAAUAAAAAAGAGCAUCAAAAACAUUCUGCUUGUCAUUGCUGCUGGCUUUUUGUUCAAUGAGGUGAGCAUUUGUCUUGUGUUGGUUUUGGUCCUCUGCCCUUGGCGAUACUUUUAACAAUGAAUAAUACUUGAAAGAAUUCCAAAAUGUGUGGGCUUUUUCUUUUUCCCUUUGAACUUUGAGCUUAAAGAUAAAUAAAGGAGUAAUUUGGUAUGUCUAGAAAAUAUUUGUGAUAACAAAUAGAUGUAGUGGUCCCUAAUGGUCAGGAAACUAACAACGUGCUUUUUACAAGCACACCACAGCCCUUGAUAACAAGAACCCCACCUAAUAUUUUAUUUUUUAAUUGAAGGUGAAGCACUGUACCUACUUUUAAAAAAUCAUCUCCUUAGAAAAUGUGAAAUGUGAUCAUCUUCAGCAGAACCUUUGAUAUUUGUGUUUAGCUAGAGGAUUUUUUUGUUUUUUUAACUUUUAAGCUGCUCUUUUAUCUGCCAGAAAAGGCAAGAUCUAAGAAACACACUGAAGAGGAGAUGUUUGUGAUGCUAAAAGGUUCCUCUGGCAGUCUCAGACUUGCAUAGAGGAAAUUUGGGCUCCUGUACAGAUGAGCUGCUCUCAUAGAAUCCAGUAGUAUGAGAUAAACAGUCUACCACAAAGUCAUAGGCCACCACCUUGAAUCUGACUUCAAAGUACUUCAGAUCCUAAGCAGAAGAAAUUUGGAUAUGCACGU